rnacentral:snRNA from 1 species
GUGCUUGCUUCGGCAGCACACGUACUAAAAUCAGAACGAUACGGAGAAGAUUAGCACGGCCCCUGCGCAAGGAUGAUGUGCAAAUUCAUGAAACAUUCCAUAUUUUU